AUUGAACGCUGGCGGCAGGCUUAACACAUGCAAGUCGAACGGUAACAGGGUGCUUGCACCGCUGACGAGUGGCGAACGGGUGAGUAAUGCGUCGGAACGUGCCGAGUAGUGGGGGAUAACGCAGCGAAAGUUGUGCUAAUACCGCAUACGUACUGAGGUAGAAAGUGGGGGACCUUCGGGCCUCACGCUAUUCGAGCGGCCGACGUCUGAUUAGCUAGUAGGUGAGGUAAAGGCUCACCUAGGCGACGAUCAGUAGCGGGUCUGAGAGGAUGAUCCGCCACACUGGGACUGAGACACGGCCCAGACUCCUACGGGAGGCAGCAGUGGGGAAUUUUGGACAAUGGGCGAAAGCCUGAUCCAGCCAUGCCGCGUGUCUGAAGAAGGCCUUCGGGUUGUAAAGGACUUUUGUCAGGGAGGAAAUCCCUAGUGCUAAUAACACUGGGGGAUGACAGUACCUGAAGAAUAAGUACCGGCUAACUACGUGCCAGCCGCCGCCGUAA
rnacentral:rRNA from 1 species